AGUUUGGAUGGGCUUGUUUAAUGCUAAAACCGGAAACGGUAUUCCGAACCCACUCUUUCUUCUUCAUUUUUGUCUCUAUGCCAAAUUGGGAUAUUUCUGAAAUUUGAAUUUUACUGUUGGCUAAUUAACUUGUGUUUUUUUUGUUUUACCGCAGUGAAAAAAAAUGGAGCAUUCUUGGACAUAGGAAAUUGGCUGUUCAGCAAUGCUGGCUGCUUCAACACAUGCAUCUUGGACAUUCUAGGCCAGUUGCAGUAGACUUGUGGUAUGCUGUCAUCUAAAACUUGGAAUGCAUUUGUCUGUUUGUGCGCCAUAGCUGAACCAAGGUAGAGUUUCUAUUGCUCAAGGUUGAUGUUGGCUUGAAACAGGGCAAUGGUAUCUAGUAGGUUUUGGGUAAAACUAUUGUGGCUUCCAUUCAUGUUUCCUGUCUGCUGCAGGGCCAAUGGUGGGUUUGUCAUGGUCUUUUGUUGGUUCAAGCAUAGAGCCUUAGCCUUGUAGUGUGGUGCACUGUGAGCAAGGAAUGAGCAUACUCUUGUGGUGGUGCUGCAGUUGAUGUUAGGUUAGUUGAUUGGGAGUUGGUUUCAUAUUGUAGUGACACCUUGUGUUUUGUCAUGGCUUUUGAUGUAGCAGCAGGCACUUUGUGGACUUGCUUGAGCUUGUAUUGCUGUGGAUAUUGAUGACCAUUGUUGUUAUGCAUUACAACAGGUUUGGAUUGGUUGCAAAGUUGUAGUCUCAAUUGACUGUGGUGCUUCUGUUAUUGGCCUGGCGUGCUUCAAGUUUGCAGAUAGGUCCAUAUGCAUGAUGGUUCCAGCUGGCAUGUUGAACUGUUUGGUCCAG
rnacentral:lncRNA from 1 species